AUCAAUUAGUCCAGGCACAUUGACACAAGCCCCUGGAUUUUGCAACGUGAUGGCGGUGUUUGACAACUACCAUUCUGCUUUAGCUUUCCUCCAGAAUACCUGCCUUGCAUUGGCCCUGGGUAAAUGUUUCCCUUGGCUGUGAAUAGGCAAUUAAAAUUCUGAACCUUUUAUGGCUCUGGAAGCUUAUCCGAUGAAACAAUACUCAUCCAGGCGGAUGGCCCACCAGCGCAAAGGGCUGAAAAGUUCCAUGGCAGCCUCAUAACUGGAGGGUGUGUCCAUGAGGAGGGUUUCGAUGACACGCUGAAAGCUCGGGCAGAUCUCUGCAGAAGCUGCAACACAGAGGAGAGAAGGCACAUGUCUCCAGGCCCCUUUCCAAGCUGGCUAGCCCUCUGGCUGGGUCUGCCCAGAUGCAAACAGCCAGGCCCAUCAGCGAGAGAUAGCAGCCUUUUCAUCGAUGGACUAGAGUGUAAGAUUUGUGGAUUGCCCGAGUCUUCCUUAGACUUCUUGGGUUGAGGUGAGCAAGGUGCCGUUUUUCUUUCUGUUGGAGAUCAAGGCAGAGUAUUGAUCAUAGAAGCUGCUGGCCUGAUUUUUUAAUGCAGUGUGGAGGCUGGGAAGAGGCCACUGAGGGUUUUAUUUCCCACCAGAAACUUGCCUCUCAUCAGUGGUUAGAGAUGCCCUGAGCCAUGCUUCACUGGGGGCAUGUGACAAAUUCAGGCUCUGGCAGGAAAAAGCGAUUGUAAGCCAGGCACGGUGGCUCACACCUGUAAUCCCAGCACUUUGGGAGGCCGAGGCAGGCAGAUCACGAGGUCAGGAGUUCGAGACCAGCCUGGCCAACAUGGUGAAACCCCGUCUCUACUAAAAAUACAAAAAAUUAGCCGGGCGUGGUUCUGGGCACCCGUAAUCCUAGCUACUCAGGAGGCUGAGGCAGGAGAAUCACUUGAAUCCAGGAAGCAGAAGUUGCAGUGAGCUGAGAUCUCGUCACUGCACUCCAGCCUGGGCAACAGAGCGAGAUUCUGUCUCAAAAAGCAAGCAAGCAAGCAAGCAAGCAAGCAAGCAAGAGAAAAGAAAAAGAAGAAAAGAAAAGAAAAGAAAAGAAGCCAUUGAGAUUGUACCAGCCAAACAUGGGCCCCCGAACCUGGCCGGGAAGAGGUGUGCACAUGUGCACAGCGGGCCCUGUGGCACACUCAGCUCAUGGACAGAGCAGCCACUUGUACCACUUCAUUCCCUUCAACACAGAGCUUCCAGACUCUGUUUUCUUCUCAGGUCCUUACAACCAGGAACAUGGGGGAAAGUCACCAUUUUCUACCCACUGCUUGCCUCCAUCUUCCCAGUGAGUCUCAAAUCCCUUUUCCUUGAAUUCUCUGCCUUCUGAACAAAUUUGCCUUCCCUCCUCUGACUCUAGGGCCUCACUAGAAAUUGCCACUCCAAGUCAGACCCUCUCCAGAACUUAGGUCCUUGAUGUGUAACUUACUGUGUCACCAGGCAAGUCACUCUGUGUUUCUGUAGCUCAGUUUUCUCAUCUGUAAAAUGGGAACAAUAUCCCUA
rnacentral:lncRNA from 10 species